AGAGAAUUCUUCACUCUCCGCCUCCUCAUUCUCAUGCCACCGUAUACAGCCUCUCUUGCUUAGCAGUUAGACCGUUUCGGCCUUCACCCCCAUCUCUGUUACACUUGUUUUCUCUAUGUGCUUAGACCCAUCAACCUUGCUGGCAAUCAGCCGUCUCUCACUUUAAUCAGUGUCUAUUUAAACCUCCCCUCUCUUCUUUUCCUCCUUCUUCUUCUGCUUCUUCUUUUCUUCUUCUUCUUCACGAUUCCUUUGAAACCCUCUCUCUUAUUGUUAGUCAUUCUGUUUCAGUCUUUUUUCUCUUCAUUUCCAUAUAUUUGCGUUUCUAUCGGUUUCGGCUCCUUAACAUGAAUUUCUCUUCUACAAGGAAAAAUUUACCCA
rnacentral:misc_RNA from 1 species